GCCUAUUGAUAUGCUUUCAGGCCAAUUGAGUGAACUGGUGCUUUGCUGCCUCCGAGGGAGUUUGGUGAGGUUUCUAGCAAAGUGUGCAGCCUGAAGGCCAAGAAGUCUGGAGAUGGGGUGCAAGCCCACGAUCGCCUCUAUUUCUCACCAGCCUCACUGAUUAAAACAUCAAGGAAGAAUGAAACCAACAAUGAUGAGAGCAGAAGGCGAAUGGGGGUUCAGCACCGUUUGCCUGUAGCUGACUGGUCUCUCCCUCCCACUGUGUUUGCCUGGUCUCACUCCCACCAGCUGCUGCCGGAGGAAGGUGUCUGUGUGUGAGCAAUCGCUCUCUCUCGCUCUCACUCAUGCGCACUGCUGGCAGAGGAAGGUGCCUGCAUUUGAAUGGUCUCCCUCUCACUCAAUGCGUCAGGGGAUGCUUUGGAGUCUUGGGUCACGGGUAAAGGUUAAUCAACGUGGUCCGUGGUUUGGACUCCGUAGUUCAUGUUAUGAUGUGUUACUGGUUAUUCCUUUUUUUUGUUGCUAAUUUGUGCAAUUCUGAUGGGGGAGGACAGGGCUGUCAACGAGCAAAGCAGUGCUUGAUUAGACUGAGCUGAGCUGAAACUGAACGUUCCUGGACUGUGUCGAUGACCUUGUGAUUUGAUGUUUUAUAUUCUGUCUUCUCACUCAUUUUUUGCCGUUUGCACGAUUUGUCCUCUCUUUUGCAGGUCGGGGGUUUGAUGCUUUUCGUUGUUCGGGUUCCACGGUUUUCUCUGUUUUGUGGCUGUCUGCGGGAAGGACGAAUCUCAGGGUUGUAUAUGCAUACAUACUUUUAUAGAACCUGGGGGGAUCUUCUUCACUCGGAGACUGCUGCGAGUGUUGAACUAGCUGCCAGUGGAAGUGGUGCAGGCUCGUCCAUUUAGGAGGAGUUCGGGUGGAUGGGGUACUGUCGGAGAGCUGCACUCAAACUGCGAUUCUUCACACCGGUGCUUCCUGCUCCCAGAGAUCACCAACCAGCCAUUUCUCGAUAUCCCAAUGAUGCCGUCUCAAAGAGGCACACCUUCCGUGGUUGUGGACGGGCUGAUAGCCUGCCGGUGUUGCCAACUGAGGCAUCGCGGAAGAAUGGAACAUCACGAACAUCAGAUAGGCUGUCGGAGCCCUUUGUACCGGUGCAAUCGCUCUCUCUUUCUCUUGAUGGUGGGGGAGAGUUUUUUGUUGAUUCUCAAAUAGGAGGAAGUCGGAAUAAAAGUGACGUGACAGACUGUAACAUUGUUGCAGCAACUUGUUUGUUGGCCUCUGCUCUCGCUGUGGUGGCACCUCUCUGUCCCGAGGGAGAGAGAGAGGAAAGAGAGGGAGAGGGAAGGGAAAGAGAGAGGGGACAGAAAGGGAGAGAGAGGGGAGUGAGAGAUGGAGGGAGAGAGGGGGGAGAAUGAGAGAGAGACUGGUAUGUCGAAUUACUGGGUGAACAGUAGGUCUGUUGGACUGCAUAUCAGAUCACGGUCUCUCUCUGAGGGCUCUGUCAUUGUUUGCUGGUUGGUACUGGGUGCUGAUGCUUCCCGCUGAAAUAAGUGUGGAGGGAAUGGGGGAAAGACUGAUGCUUUGCUGCUGUUUCUGCAUGGGGGAGAGGGGGCUUUGGGGUUCGAAUGAUUUUCUGUCAUUCAUUCUUUGGGGUUCCCUUCUGUUUGUAACGCACUGUAAGGUUUCACUGUUAAUGUAAUGGCUUCUCUGUAAUGUUCCUCUGCUGAGGUAAUGGUUUCUCUGUAGCAGCGAUGUUUGGGUUAGGACUAGAGAUAAUGGGGGCUUUGGCAUGUCUGCUAGCUAAUGAGAGGCAUGUUCUUCUUUCUUGUGAGUCUGAGAGCAGAGAUUUUGCGCUGUUUUGUCGGCGAGAGAUGAAGAGGGAAGACAUGAGUGGAGAGAGUUGAGGACCGCCGGAUGGAGUGGACUUGGAGCGAGGGUCCAAAGGUUGGUGACACUCGGAGGAGGUCGAUGGGGGAUGGAUGGACGGAACCACGAGCUCCAACGUGCGCACCAGACUGUUUCAUUAAAAUGGGCCCUUUUACUUUUUAUUUUCUUUACUAACCCUAUAGUCAGGUAAAAUCUAUAAAGUUCACUCGUUAAAUUGCGUACGGUGUACUGUCUGAUAUUUUGCGGUGUGGGUUUGUAACCGGGCAACACAUCACACAGCAUCCACACAAACGAGAUUUCUCAGUUUGGCGGGGCCAGAGGCUCUCUUCCCCUAGACGAACACGAGCUGGCCGAACCUAAGGGUCACAUGUCUUUGUGGAUGUCUGCAAAGAGUAAAAAUUUCAGGUUGCAUUCUGAAUACAUUCUCUGACAUUAAACUGAACUAUUAAACCUUUGAGCUAUUGAUUCAAACUUGCUUCCAGAUCUGUAUCUCAAGUGUGAUAGCAAAUUCCUAAUGCUUGAGCA